GGCAGCGUAGCUCAGUGGUAGAGCGGAGCCCUCAUAAAGCUUAGGUCACAGGUUCGAUCCCUGUCGCUGCUACAA
rnacentral:tRNA from 1 species